CCUACGGGAGGCAGCAGUGAGGAAUAUUGGUCAAUGGGCGGGAGCCUGAACCAGCCAAGCCGCGUGAGGGAAGAAGGUACAGCGUAUCGUAAACCUCUUUUGUCAGGGAACAAAGGCGGGGACUCGUCCCCGGCUGAGGGUACCUGACGAAAAAGCAUCGGCUAACUCCGUGCCAGCAGCCGCGGUAAUCCGGAGGAUGCGAGCGUUAUCCGGAUUUAUUGGGUUUAAAGGGUGCGCAGCCGGCCUGUUAAGUCAGCGGUAAAAGCCCGGGGCUCAACCCCGGCGAGCCGUUGAAACUGGCGGGCUGGAGUUGGAGAGAAGUACGCGGAAUGCGCGGUGUAGCGGUGAAAUGCUUAGAUAUCGCGCAGAACCCCGAUUGCGAAGGCAGCGUACCGGCUCCACACUGACGCUGAGGCACGAAAGCGUGGGUAUCGAACAGGAUUAGAUACCCCAGUAGUC
rnacentral:rRNA from 1 species